rnacentral:rRNA from 1 species
GAUGAACGCUGGCGGCGUGCCUAAUACAUGCAAGUCGAGCGAACGGACGAGAAGCUUGCUUCUCUGAUGUUAGCGGCGGACGGGUGAGUAACACGUGGAUAACCUACCUAUAAGACUGGGAUAACUUCGGGAAACCGGAGCUAAUACCGGAUAAUAUUUUGAACCGCAUGGUUCAAAAGUGAAAGACGGUCUUGCUGUCACUUAUAGAUGGAUCCGCGCUGCAUUAGCUAGUUGGUAAGGUAACGGCUUACCAAGGCAACGAUGCAUAGCCGACCUGAGAGGGUGAUCGGCCAAACUGGAACUGAGACACGGUCCAGACUCCUACGGGAGGCAGCAGAAGGGAAUCUUCCGCAAUGGGCGAAAGCAUAACGGAGCAACGCCGCGUGAGUGAUGAAGGUCUUCGGAUCGUAAAACUCUGUUAUUAGGGAAGAACAUAUGUGUAAGUAACUGUGCACAUAUUGACGGUAACUAAUCAGAAAGCCACGGCUAACUACGUG